rnacentral:rRNA from 1 species
UACGAAGGGGCUAGCGUUGUUCGGAUUUACUGGGCGUAAAGCGCACGUAGGCGGACUAUUAAGUCAGGGGUGAAAUCCCGGGGCUCAACCCCGGAACUGCCUUUGAUACUGGUAGUCUUGAGUUCGAGAGAGGUGAGUGGAAUUCCGAGUGUAGAGGUGAAAUUCGUAGAUAUUCGGAGGAACACCAGUGGCGAAGGCGGCUCACUGGCUCGAUACUGACGCUGAGGUGCGAAAGCGUGGGGAGCAAACAGG